GGCUCAGUGGUUAAGCGCCCCUGGGUUCAAUCUCCAGUACAAAAAAAAAUAAAAAAGCAAGCUUCAGUAGAGUGUUUUUUUUUUAAAGUUUUUUUUGUGUGUAAUUAUGUGCAACACUAUUGAGAAUCUUUGAGUCUAAGACCUUGCUACUCAAAUGCGACCAUGGACCAGCGCCUGAGCUGAAAGCUUGAUAAAAAUGCCAGACUUCUGCAUCCCCCUCCCAAACUGAUGAAUCAGGAUCUGCAUUUUGACAAGAUCUGCAGUGGAUUUAGAAGCACUGACCUCAUUAGUAUAUUGUUCACUCAUGUUCACCUCCCCAAUCUAAUCAGCUUGUACAACUUUUUUAAGCUGUAGGAGUGCCUUUCUGAAUUUUUUCACUAAGACCUACAGAAAUAAAUGAAUUUUACAUCAAAAUGUAGAGCAUAUAUACAUAUAUGUAAUGAAACAAAAAUGUUUCUCACUCAUUCCAAAUGAGUCUCACUCAUUCCACAUAUAUUCUUGGUAUCUACUUUGUGCUGGGCAUUGUUCCAGUUACCUGUACCUAGGACAACAACAACAAAAUCUGUGUGUGUGUAUGGUGGGGGAGAAUUAGAAAGUUAAAAAUAAACCAUGAAUAUGAAGGUUAUACUAGAAGAUUAAUAUGAUAGAAUUCUUUACUUUUUCUUUUUUGCAAUGCUGGGGAUUAAACCCAGGGCCUCAGGCAUGCUAGGUGAGUGCUGUACCAACAAACCACAUUCCCAGCUCUAAAAUUUCUU
rnacentral:lncRNA from 1 species